rnacentral:rRNA from 1 species
GAUGAACGCUAGCUACAGGCUUAACACAUGCAAGUCGCGGGGCAGCAUGGGGGUUGCUUGCAAUCCCCGAUGGCGACCGGCGCACGGGUGAGUAACGCGUAUCCAACCUGCCCUUCACCACGGGAUAACCCGGCGAAAGUCGGACUAAUACCGUAUGUUGUCCAUUGACGGCAUCCGAUUUGGACGAAAGGCUUGGCGGUGAGGGAUGGGGAUGCGUCCGAUUAGCUAGACGGCGGGGUAACGGCCCACCGUGGCUACGAUCGGUAGGGGUUCUGAGAGGAAGGUCCCCCACACUGGAACUGAGACACGGUCCAGACUCCUACGGGAGGCAGCAGUGAGGAAUAUUGGUCAAUGGGCGUAAGCCUGAACCAGCCAAGUAGCGUGCAGGAUGACGGCCCUAUGGGUUGUAAACUGCUUUUAUGCGGGGAUAAAGUGGCCCACGUGUGGGCUUUUGCAGGUACCGCAUGAAUAAGGACCGGCUAAUUCCGUG